rnacentral:rRNA from 1 species
UACGUAGGUGGCAAGCGUUGUCCGGAUUUAUUGGGCGUAAAGCGAGCGCAGGCGGAAAGAUAAGUCUGAUGUGAAAGCCCCCCGGCUUAACCGAGGAAUUGCAUCGGAAACUGUGUUUCUUGAGUGCAGAAGAGGAGAGUGGAACUCCAUGUGUAGCGGUGGAAUGCGUAGAUAUAUGGAAGAACACCAGUGGCGAAGGCGGCUCUCUGGUCUGUAACUGACGCUGAGGCUCGAAAGCAUGGGUAGCGAACAGG